rnacentral:ncRNA from 1 species
AUCCCAGUGCUUGACACUGGGAUCCAGGAAUUUUAAUUGUAAGUAAGCAUACUGAGUUGAUAAGUAUAAAAGUAGCUAGAAAAUAAACAUUUUUGAUGAGAUUAUAUGGAAAACUGGAUUCCAGUGUCAAGCACUGGAAU